UACGUAGGGGGCAAGCGUUGUCCGGAUUUAUUGGGCGUAAAAGGCUUGUAGGUGGCCACGCCAAGUCGGAUGUGAAAUCUCCCGGCUCAACUGGGAGGGGUCAUUCGAUACUGGCGGGCUCGAGGCCGGUAGGGGGAAGUGGAAUUCCCGGUGAAGUGGUGGAAUGCGUAGAUAUCGGGAGGAACACCAGUGGCGAAGGCGGCUUCCUGGACCGGUUCUGACACUGAGGAGCGAAAGCGUGGGGAGCGAUCCGG
rnacentral:rRNA from 1 species